AACGAACGCUGGCGGCAUGCCUAACACAUGCAAGUCGAACGAGACCUUCGGGUCUAGUGGCGCACGGGUUCGUAACGCGUGGGAACCUGCCCUUAGGUUCGGAAUAACUCCCCGAAAGGGGUGCUAAUACCGGAUAAUGUCUUCGGACCAAGGAUUUAUCGCCUUUGGAUGGGCCCGCGUUGGAUUAGCUAGUUGGUAGGGUAAAAGCCUACCAAGGCGACGAUCCAUAGCUGGUCUGAGAGGAUGAUCAGCCACACUGGGACUGAGACACGGCCCAGACUCCUACGGGAGGCAGCAGUGGGGAAUAUUGGACAAUGGGCGAAAGCCUGAUCCAGCAAUGCCGCGUGAGUGAUGAAGGCCUUAGGGUUGUAAAGCUCUUUUAACCGGGAUGAUAAUGACAGUACCGGGAGAAUAAGCUCCGGCUAACUCCGUG
rnacentral:rRNA from 1 species